UACAUGUGUAUACGAAUCAUAUGUGUGUGACUAUUACGUCUAGAAAUAACAUUCUAUGAAGAUCAGAUUUGUAUGCGUUUUAAUUACAACGAAAUUAUUUCGUAUAUAAGUUACUGUAACAACUGUUCUGGAGUUUAAUACACAUAUACUUUAAAGGCUCGAAGAAUGUUCAACAUCGCGUUCGUGUAACGUUUUGUGGUGACGUACCAAGUUAUUUCGUCUGCUUAGUUCGUAUCGCAUCGAUCACACGAGUCAGUACAUGUGACGUCAGUAAAGCGAAUAAGUUCGUUCAACUUUGACAACGACACAAUCCUUGAUUAUUCGAUUAAAGAAAACAUGUGCUUUCUGCGUGCAAAAGUAGCGAUCCUUCUUCUGGUAUAUUUUUUGAGAAACAACGUCUCUACGGUGAAGAUUGAAGUUUCCUCGAACAUUCAGUAUGGCCAGGAAGUAAACUUAACAUGCGUCAUCAACAGUUCUUUCCAAUUCAAUUUUACAAGUACGAAACAACGCACGAUAACCAUAGGAGGGUGUCCGUCGCCGCCAGAUACGAAUUGUUUUUUGUUCCCUGAAAUACUGAAUACGAGUUAUAAGAUAGUGGCAGUUUCGAAAGGUGGUGUAUUGACCAUAUUUAGUUGGAAAGAAGAAAAGUAUGGAGAGUACAUGUGCUUCAAUUUUUUAAAUAUCUCUCAAUUUGAUACUGUAUCACUACCACAACAAACCAGCGGAGGCCAUUCAUGUUUUCAUUGCAAUUGUGUAUUGUUUAUAUGCUUUUUAGCGCAUCUUUGCAAACGGUUUUUGCCAUCGCCAUUGGAUUGGCGUUCUCCAUCUUUGGUCAACAAAACAAUUUAAGACUAAUCUACACGCAACCAUUUUCCAUAUGUAAAUACGUUCGAUGUUAUUGAGAUUAGACCAUGUUUAAUUAUCAUAUAAUAUUCCAAUUUUAGGUCAUUUAAUUGUAUAUUAUUUUCGUGAAUUAAAUUAAGUUAACUUAA